rnacentral:tRNA from 3 species
GCCGAUGUAGCUCAGUUGGCUAGAGCAGCUGAUUUGUAAUCAGCAGGUCGUGGGUUCGAGUCCCUCCAUCGGCU